GAGCUUCAUGUAGUCCUCGAACACGAACUUCGGAUACGUCUCACUCUCCUUUUCUGUUUCCUUCACUAGCGCGGAGGCCGGAUAGAUGACAGCAUCGCCCCCUGGGUUGUAAAAGGAAGCAAUCGACAUCCUGGUACCGUCCGGCUGAGACACCACUCGGUGCAGCACGCUCUUGUACUUGCCAUUUGUAAUGACCUCAAGCUGAUCACCGAGGUUGAUGACGAUGGAGUGAUGCAUAGGAGGGACGUCCACCCACUCACCGUCCUUGAGCAGCUGGAGGCCGCUCACCUUGUCGUCCUGAAACAGAAGGAUGAGGCCGCCAGCAUCGGUGUGUGCACGAAGGCCCUUGAUCAGAUCCGGCUUCGGUGAGGGCGGAUAGUUGCUAACCUUGGUACCGAAGGUCAGCCCCUUCGUCCCACUAAAGGCCUUCUUCAAAUACCCUUUCUCCAACCCCAGGUUCUCACACAGCAGGUCGAGAAGCUGGUCCGCUAGCUCUCCCAGCCUCUUGACGAACUCCCUCAUCGUCUCCCGGUACUCAUCGGUGAGAUCGGGGACCUCCUCCAUGUUGGAGGUGGGGAGGUGACGGAGAUAGAAGGUGCUCUCCCAGUCGAGGUUGUCGGGGUCAACCUUCGCAGGGUCUUCUAGGGUUUUGGAGGCGAAUUCCCUGAACCUCUGCUCCAUGCACUUCUUGUAGUGAUCUUUGGUUAACUUCUCCACCUUGUCCAACAGCUCGUGUGGGAUUCCAUGGUUGAGGAGCUCAAAGAAUCCCCAGUUCUCGCAGGCAUCAUGCAGAAGCUCCAUGACCUUGCUCCUCCCCUCUCCCUCGAGGUUCUCCAUGUUGAUGACCGGGAAAGAUGCCAUCUAGCUUUAUCUUUGGAGUUGUG
rnacentral:misc_RNA from 1 species